AGCAGCCGCGGUAAUUCCAGCUCCAAUAGCGUAUAUUAAAGUUGCUGCAGUUAAAAAGCUCGUAGUUGAAUUUCGGGACCAUCAUGUCGGUCGUGCCUAGGUACGUACUGGCAUUGUUGGUUUCUACCUUCUGACGAACCAUGAUGUCAUUUAUUUGGUGUCGUGGGAAAUCAGGACUGUUACUUUGAAAAAAUUAGAGUGUUUAAAGCAGGCUCACGCUUGAAUACAUUAGCAUGGAAUAAUGAAAUAGGACGUUUGAUUCUAUUUUGUUGGUUUCUAGGAUCGACGUAAUGAUUAAUAGGGAUAGUUGGGGGCAUUAGUAUUCAAUUGUCAGAGGUGAAAUUCUUGGAUUUAUUGAAGACUAACUACUGCGAAAGCAUUUGCCAAGGAUGUUUUCAUUAAUCAAGAACGAAAGUUAGGGGAUCGAAGACGAUCAGAUACCGCCGUAGUCUUAACCAUAAACUAUGCCGACUAGGGAUCGGAUGAUGUUAAUUUUUUAAUGACUCAUUCGGCGCCUUAC
rnacentral:misc_RNA from 1 species